rnacentral:rRNA from 1 species
UACGAAGGGGGCUAGCGUUGCUCGGAAUUACUGGGCGUAAAGCGCACGUAGGCGGCUCUUUAAGUCGGGGGUGAAAUCCUGGAGCUCAACUCCAGAACUGCCUUCGAUACUGUAGAGCUUGAGUUCGGGAGAGGUGAGUGGAACUGCGAGUGUAGAGGUGAAAUUCGUAGAUAUUCGCAAGAACACCAGUGGCGAAAGGCGGCUCACUGGCCCGAUACUGACCGCUGAGGUGCGGAAAGCCAGGGGAGCGAAACGGGG